rnacentral:rRNA from 1 species
UGGGGAAUCUUGCGCAAUGGGCGAAAGCCUGACGCAGCGACGCCGCGUGGGUGAUGAAGGCCUUCGGGUUGUAAAGCCCUGUGGAGGGGGAAGAAUAAGGGCAGCCUAAUACGCUGACCGAUGACGGUACCCCUUUAGCAAGCACCGGCUAACUCUGUGCCAGCAGCCGCGGUAAGACAGAGGGUGCAAACGUUGUUCGGAAUUACUGGGCGUAAAGCGCGUGUAGGCGGCUUGGCAAGUCGGGUGUGAAAGCCCUGGGCUCAACCUAGGAAGUGCACUCGAAACUGCUUCGCUUGAGUGUCGGAGAGGAAAGCGGAAUUCUCGGUGUAGAGGUGAAAUUCGUAGAUAUCGAGAGGAACACCGGUGGCGAAGGCGGCUUUCUGGACGAUCACUGACGCUGAGACGCGAAAGCGUGGGGAGCAAACAGG